rnacentral:rRNA from 1 species
GCAAUGCCGCGUGAGUGAAGAAGGCCUUCGGGUUGUAAAGCUCUUUUGUCAGGGAAGAAAAGGUAGUCUCUAAUACAGGCUGCUCAUGACGGUACCUGAAGAAUAAGCACCGGCUAACUACGUGCCAGCAGCCGCGGUAAUACGUAGGGUGCAAGCGUUAAUCGGAAUUACUGGGCGUAAAGCGUGCGCAGGCGGUUAUAUAAGUCAGAUGUGAAAUCCCUGGGCUCAACCUAGGAACUGCAUUUGAGACUGUAUGGCUAGAGUGUGUCAGAGGGGGGUAGAAUUCCACGUGUAGCAGUGAAAUGCGUAGAUAUGUGGAGGAAUACCGAUGGCGAAGGCAGCCCCCUGGGAUAACACUGACGCUCAUGCACGAAAGCGUGGGGAGCAAACAGGAUUAAAUACCCUGGUAGUCCAGGCCCUAAACGAUGUCUACUAGUUGUUGGGUCUUAAUUGACUU